rnacentral:misc_RNA from 1 species
AAUUUUAUCUUUUUCAUUUCCAUUUGUUUAACUAUUGUUUAAAAAACUGUUCAUUAGAACACUAUAAUAUUUAAUUACCCAAAACUUUGUUUUAGCAAGAAAUUAUGAAUUCAUGUACUCAAUCAAUUUCAACAAACCCUGAAGAAGCUCUCUGCCAUAUUUGCAGCAAAAUAUUUAUAACUCAGUCUUCACUAAAUCGUCAUAUCAAAAAAAUACAUAAAAUAGAUGGGCCCACUAACAAUAUAAAUCAAAAUCACAUUAUUUGUCCCUUAUGUGAGAAAGAUACUAAUUUUAAUAGUCAUGAGAAGUUACGAAAACAUCUUCAGGACCUUCACCAGGUGAGUAUUGAACUUGUAACAUUUGAAUUUUCUAGCAAACAAGAAUAUGAGACAUGGAAAGAUAUGCAGAAAAUUGAGACAAGUUAUGUAUCUCAUAGAACAAUUUGUAGAAAGGAACAUAAGAUAAUGUACUAUGAUUGUAACAGAAGUGACCUACAAGGAUAUAAACCCAACUAUAAAAUAAUGACAGAGAAAGCUGGUGGAUCAAUUAAAAUUAAAGGAGUGUGCCCUUCCAGGCUGAUUUGCAAACUGAGAGACCAAGGACAAGUUUCUGUCAGUUACUGGAAAACACAUGCUGGACAUAAAGAAGAAUUAAGAACCAUGCAUCUGUCAAAAGCAGAAGAAAAAAUGGUUGUAGAAAAAUUAAUGGCUGGGGUGCCACCCAGUAGAAUUUUAAAAGAUUCAAGAAAGUUGGAAACACCACAACUAGAUAGACUUGCUGUAAUAACAACUCAAGAUCUCACAAAUUUGUCCACAAAGUACAAUAUACACAAGAAAAGAGAUCAAAAUGAUAUGGUAGCAGCAGCCUUAAAGGUUCAGGAAUGGAAUGCUAACAACAAGAAUUAUACUUUCUUAUUUAAGAAAGAAGAUGAUGCUGCAAGGUGUUCGAGAGAAAUGUUAACUAUCAAAUCAAGGCAUGAGGAGGAAAUUAAUGAAUUUGUCAGAGGGAAGCUAGAACAGACAAAUGUGACCCAGGAAAAAACCAAACGAAGUCUUCAACAGGAAUACCUCAAUAAUGUGUUGAACGGAUUAGAUGACCAAGGUUUUGCGGAAUAUAUGAGGAAAACUCAAGGAAUUCUGGAAGAAGUUAAUAAUAAGGGAAAGAAGAUUACGAAGAAGCGAAAAAUGGAGACUUGAGAGUAUUUUCCUUAAAAAAAAAGAACUGAUUAAACAUUUUUAUUAACAAUUUUUGUAGCUCACAUGCAUUUUUGCCUUGUACCUGUAUUUAAUUUUCAUUAUAGUUUUAUAGACUUAUUUACAAGAACAUUACUUAAUUUAACAUUAUAAAUUUUACUUAAUUAGUAAUAAAUAUAGUGAAAUUUCUUAUAAGAUUAUAUAAAUACAGUGUGUCCACAGAUGGGGUGCCCAAGAGGAAAAACAUUUUUAUUUUCAAUUUUAGCGAAAAAUGUCAUUCUUUUUUAAAAGUUUUGCUUCCCCAUAAAACGAAAUAAAAUAAUUUUUCAAAACCUGCUUAAUUUUGUGUUAUAAUAAAUAAUUUUUAUGUUAUAAAUAAAUAAUAAAUAAAUAAAUUUUUGCACUAAGUUCGAAAUCUUAACAAUAAUCUAGUGUUGCUAACCUACAAUGUAGCUGAAUAACUGUCAAUUGCAAUAAAUAAUUUGCGAAUUGUCAUUCUUUUUCGAUGAGAUAAUGUUAACCAUCCAACAGAGAAUUUAUAGAUAUUGUAAAGUGUUAUGGAAUUGGAGCUGUUUUGUACCGACAUGCGAUUGAAAUGUUCAAUGAAAAAUAUCGAGAUGUACUUGUUACACGGAAUGGAUUGAAGAAACUGAUAAAGAAAUUCAAUGAGACGGCAUCUGUUGGAAACAGAAAAAGAUCGAAAAUAACAUACAAUGAGGAUGAUGACACAGCUACUGCCCUAGCUAUGUAGUCAGCAAGGGAAAUUCCAAAAAGUUUGCGAAAAGAGUCACAAAGAGUAACAAAAGUCACAGAAAAUAUUCGAGCAAAACAACAUUCAUUCCUUUAAACCAAAAUUUAUUCACACCUUACAAUAUUGUGAUUAUGACAUGAGGCUUGACUUUUGUGCAAUCAUUGAUGAAAAACUUAUACCACUACCUGCUUCUUUCACUAAAAUAUUCUAUUUUGCACGUUAUAUUGAAGUCUUUGUUGAACUCUUAACAUUGUCGAAAAAAAUGACAAUUCACAAAUUAUUUACUGGAGUUGACAGUUACUAUGCUACAUAGUAGCUUAGCAACACUAGAUUAUUGUUACGAUUUUGAACUUAGUGCCAAAAUUUAUAGGGAUUUAUAUAAAAUUGCCUACAAAAUUAAGCAGGUUUUGAAUUUUAUUUCGUUUUAUGGGGGUUUAGAACAAGCAAAACUUUUUAUCAAGAAUGAUAUUUUUGCUAAAGGGAGCGUUCAAGUAUUACGUAACGCGAUUUUUGAAGAUUUUUAACCCCCCCCUCCCCCUACGUAACACAAUCUUAUGAGAGUUUAACUAUUGCGUAACGCAAUUUUUGAAGAUUUUUGGAAAUAAAAUCUUUGAUAAAUUGAAAAUAAAAGUUUGUUAUCUUGGGCACCCCAUCUGUGGACACACUGUAUGUAUGUUACUUAGGUUAGAUCUGAAUUUUAAAUAGGCCGUUCCAAGAUGCUGUCAAAAUUAAAUCAAUAUGGCUACCGGAAGGCAAACAUUGAAUAUUAUUCUAUCAGGUUCUUAUGGUUUUAGAUCAUUUUAGUUGUUGUACAAAGAUUAAUUUAACAUUUUCUCUGGAAGUAUUAAUUUAGAAAGAUAAUAUGCCUCAUUGGUGUUGUGUUUUGAAGUGUGAAAUGCAAAGUAAUCGUGAUAAAGUUAGCUUUUACCACUUACCAUCAGUGCUACAUUCUAAGCACAAAACUGAACCAAUUUAACUAAAUAAGUUAUAGUUAUCAUCUGAGAGACAACAACAAUGGUAAAAUGCAAUAAAAUAUAAAGAUUUUACUAGCAAAAUGGAAAUUCCCCUGUAAUCAUCUUAUAUCUGGUAAGUUACAACAUUUGAACAUUAACGAUUUUUGAAGAUGUUAACAGUCUAAUCUUGUAGGAAAACCAGCCGACUUAACUGAUAAUAUCAAUCCAGAUUGGGUUCCUUCAAUAAAUAUGGGGUAUAUAAACACAAUGAAAUGAGUUCCCCAAAAUCUAAAAUGGGAAUUAAGGUACCAAAGGAGAAUUAAAAGAAAAGGGUACCUACAAGAAAAAAUUGCUUUUUUAUUCCUCUUGAAAUGAUUUAUAAGACACUGGACUGUCUUAUAUUCUACAAAUACUAGAAUCAGCUGAGAGAAGUGGUCUACAAAAACCCAGGAAGGAAACGGAAUAUGUGGCUACGAAAGGCAAAAGAAAGGUUUACAAAGCAAAUGUGACACAUUUUUUUGAAAUAUUUAGGAAUAUCAGUAAAUUGCAUUAAAAAAAUGUAUGAAAAGAUUUUGUUCAAUAAAAAUGUUUAUAUUUA